GAUGAACGCUGGCGGCGUGCCUAACACAUGCAAGUCGAACGGAGUCCAGCCUUUAAGACCUUCGGGUCAAAGAGGGGAAGACUGAGUGGCGGACGGGUGAGUAACACGUGGGCAACCUGGCUCAUAGAGGGGGAUAACAGAGAGAAAUUUCUGCUAAUACCGCAUAAGCACACACUGCCGCAUGGCAGAGGGUGAAAAGAGAAUCGCUAUGAGAUGGACCCGCGUCUGAUUAGCCAGUUGGCAGGGUAAGAGCCUACCAAAGCGACGAUCAGUAGCCGAUCUGAGAGGAUGAACGGCCACAUUGGGACUGAGACACGGCCCAAACUCCUACGGGAGGCAGCAGUGGGGGAUAUUGCACAAUGGGGGGAACCCUGAUGCAGCGACGCCGCGUGAGUGAAGAAGUAUUUCGGUAUGUAAAGCUCUAUCAGCAGGGAAGAUAAUGACAGUACCUGAAUAAGAAACCCCGGCUAACUACGU
rnacentral:rRNA from 1 species